rnacentral:RNase_P_RNA from 2 species
UAAGCAGGCUUAUCUUAUCGUCAUGCUUUUUAGCAUGUAGGAAAGUCCGGACACCAUAGAGUAUCAUAGCGGAUAACAUCCGUCCAGCGUAAGUUGAGGACCAGUGCAACAGAAAGCAAGUACAGUUCGGCUGUAGUGAAACCAGGUAAACUCUAUGAGGUGCAAUGCCAUGUAAAUUAGAGCUUGAGAGCUACUCGCUCGAUUCUAAAGGGUAGGCAGAUUGAUUCUAAAAGUAAUUUUAGAACGAGAUAAAUGAUAAGAACUUUUUAUAAAGGGACAGGAUUCGGCUUAUUAGCCUGCUUUUUUA